AGUGAACGCUGGCGGUAUGCCUAACACAUGCAAGUCGAACGGCAGCACAGUAAGAUCUUUCUCUUACGGUUGGCGACUGGCGGACGGGUGAGGAAUACAUCGGAAUCUACUUUUUCGUGGGGGAUAACGUAGGGACACUUACGCUAAUACCUCAUACGACCUACGGGUGAAAGCAGUGGUUCUUCGGACCUUUCGCGAUUCAAUUAGCCGAUGUCGGAUUAGCUAGUUGGCUGGGUAAAGGCCCACCAAGGCGACGAUCCGUAGCUGGUCUGAGAGGAUGAUCAGCCACACUGGAACUGAGACACGGUCCAGACUCCUACGGGAGGCAGCAGUGGGGAAUAUUGGACAAUGGGCGAAAGCCUGAUCCAGCAAUACCGCGUGAGUGAAGAAGGCCUUCGGGUUGUAAAGCCCUUUUGUUGGGAAAGAAAAGAAGCAGGUUAAUACCCCGAUGUUCUGACGGUACCAAAAGAAUAAGCACCGGCUAACUUCGUG
rnacentral:rRNA from 1 species